GACGAACGCUAGCGGCAGGCCUAAUACAUGCAAGUCGAGGGGUAAGGUCACUUCGGUGAUACACGACCGGCGCACGGGUGCGUAACGCGUAUGCAACCUACCUGUAGCAGGGGGAUAGCCUGUGGAAACAUAGAUUAAUACCCCGUAUAGCAUACAUACUCCAUGGUAUUUAUGCAAAAGCUUCGGUGGCUACAGAUGGGCAUGCGUCUGAUUAGCUAGAUGGUAAGGUAAUGGCUUACCAUGGCAACGAUCAGUAGCGGUUCUGAGAGGAUGAUCCGCCACACUGGGACUGAGACACGGCCCAGACUCCUACGGGAGGCAGCAGUAGGGAAUAUUGGUCAAUGGUCGAGAGACUGAACCAGCCAUGCCGCGUGCAGGAAGACGGCCUUCUGGGUUGUAAACUGCUUUUUACAGGGAAGAAAACGUCCUUGCGAGGGCUCUUGCCGGUACCUGUAGAAUAAGCACCGGCUAACUCCGUGCCAGCAGCCGCGGUAAU
rnacentral:rRNA from 1 species